CGCCAGAAAGCUCAGUGGCUAGAGCACCUGACUAAAGAUUCAGGGGGCCCAAGUUCAAAUCUCAGUCUGGUCC
rfam:Crassostrea gigas strain 05x7-T-G4-1.051#20 contig7669, whole genome shotgun sequence.